rnacentral:rRNA from 1 species
GGGACACGUGGUAUCCUGUCUGAAUAUGGGGGGACCAUCCUCCAAGGCUAAAUACUCCUGACUGACCGAUAGUGAACCAGUACCGUGAGGGAAAGGCGAAAAGAACCCCGGCGAGGGGAGUGAAAAAGAACCUGAAACCGUGUACGUACAAGCAGUGGGAGCACCUUCGGGUGUGACUGCGUACCUUUUGUAUAAUGGGUCAGCGACUUAUAUUCUGUAGCAAGGUUAACCGUAUAGGGGAGCCGCAGGGAAACCGAGUCUUAACUGGGCGUUAAGUUGCAGGGUAUAGACCCGAAACCCGGUGAUCUAGCCAUGGGCAGGUUGAAGGUUGGGUAACACUAACUGGAGGACCGAACCGACUAAUGUUGAAAAAUUAGCGGAUGACUUGUGGCUGGGGGUGAAAGGCCAAUCAAACCGGGAGAUAGCUGGUUCUCCCCGAAAGCUAUUUAGGUAGCGCCUCGUGAACUCAUCUUCGGGGGUAGAGCACUGUUUCGGCUAGGGGGUCAUCCCGACUUACCAACCCGAUGCAAACUACGAAUACCGAAGAAUGUUAUCACGGGAGACACACGGCGGGUGCUAACGUCCGUCGUGAAGAGGGAAACAACCCAGACCGCCAGCUAAGGUCCCAAAGUCAUGGUUAAGUGGGAAACGAUGUGGGAAGGCACAGACAGCCAGGAUGUUGGCUUAGAAGCAGCCAUCAUUUAAAGAAAGCGUAAUAGCUCACUGGUCGAGUCGGCCUGCGCGGAAGAUGUAACGGGGCUAAACCAUGCACCGAAGCUGCGGCAGCGACACUAUGUGUUGUUGGGUAGGGGAGCGUUCUGUAAGCCUGCGAAGGUGU